UCAGCAGCCGCGGUAAUACGGAGGGUGCAAGCGUUGUUCGGAAUUACUGGGCGUAAAGCGCGUGUAGGCGGUUUGGUAAGUCAGAUGUGAAAGCCCUGGGCUCAACCCAGGAAGUGCAUUUGAAACUGCCUUACUCGAGUAUGGGAGAGGAGAGUGGAAUUCCCAGUGUAGAGGUGAAAUUCGUAGAUAUUGGGAGGAACACCCGUGGCGAAGGCGACUCUCUGGACCAAUACUGACGCUGAGACGCGAAAGCGUGGGGAGCAAACAGGAUUAGAUACCCUGGUAGUCCACGCCGUAAACGAUGAGAACUAGGUGUAGCGGGUAUUGACCCCUGCUGUGCCGUAGCUAACGCAUUAAGUUCUCCGCCUGGGGAGUACGGCCGCAAGGCUAAAACUUAAAGGAAUUGGCGGGGGAU
rnacentral:rRNA from 1 species